rnacentral:rRNA from 1 species
CCUACGGGGGGCAGCAGUGGGGAAUAUUGCGCAAUGGGCGAAAGCCUGACGCAGCGACGCCGCGUGAGGGAUGAAGGUCUUCGGAUCGUAAACCUCUGUCAGCAGGGAAGAACGGUCACUGUGCUAAUCAGCAGUGAAUUGACGGUACCUGCAAAGGAAGCACCGGCUAACUCCGUGCCAGCAGCCGCGGUAAUACGGAGGGUGCGAGCGUUAAUCGGAAUUACUGGGCGUAAAGCGAGCGUAGGCGGUAUGUCAAGUCAAGGGUGAAAUCCCCGGGCUCAACGUGGGAACUGCCUUUGAAACUGGCAGACUGGAGUGUGUGAGAGGAUAGUGGAAUUCGAGGUGUAGGAGUGAAAUCCGUAGAUAUCUGGAGGAACAUCAGUGGCGAAGGCGACUAUCUGGCACAUAACUGACGCUGAGGAGCGAAAGCGUGGGUAGCAAACAGGAUUAGAUACCCGGGUAGUC